rnacentral:lncRNA from 1 species
GUAUAUUUUUGUUAACUCCAAAGGACAGACUUUCAGGGCAGUUUACCAGGAGACAGCUUUUACAAUGAGUGCACUGGCAAGAGGAAGGAAAAAGCCAUUUUUGCUGCUUCAUGUGUUGCCUACACAGAGACUGUUACAGUGGCUUCAGCAGAGUCAGUGGUUGUGUCAACAGCAUCUGGAGCAGAGAGGGCAAGCUUAGUUCAUAUGAAGCAGCAAUAGCAACAGAAGAAAAGGCAGUGACAUCACCCUCAGCUUGUUGGAGCAAAUGCAAAACUGUACAUCAACUGGAUUAAAUUAAAGGCAAGUAUGUGAGGCUGAAAUGGGCUAUUUUGCUUGAUUAUAAUGGUAGGAAUGAUGAGUACAUUGUGGAAUACAUGGGCUACUUCUGAUUGCACUGGAAGAGCUCAGUCAGUGUACAUUCAGAAACACUGAAACCAUCAGAGAUAUUUCAGUCUCCAUCGGCCCCCUUCCAGAGGCACCACAAUAUGCAGAGAAUAAAGGACUCCUUUCUUACUCCCACCUUCCAAUUCAUUAUUACUUCCCCAUGGCAGAAGCUAAAUAAUCAAGAUGGUAAAGGAUCAGUGGAAAUAAAGUUUUUAGGCUUCCAGCUUCCUGCAGGGAAGGGAAAUCACAAAAGGUUAGAGCAGAGCUAAGUGCCUAUAGACAAAUAACCAGCUCAGUGAUUACAUUGUUAACAAGUUUUAUAGUUGGCCCU